GUGCUUCACGAUAUUGCGUGGGCUUCUAAUAAACGUCCAGUAAACCGCAGGUAGCGCCUCGGAGAGAGAUGGGCCUGUGCACCUGUCCACAAAGGGCCUCCACAUGCUGCAGCUCCGCCUUCCGUGGCCCAGCCCUGGCACGGUCGGCUCCGGAGACGAUCCUGCCCCUCGGGACGCCUGCAGCAGGCAACUACUGUUUCACUUCCCUGAAGAAGCUCAUAAUAUUAUAAUUCAAGUGUCAGGACAGAUUAGGUUAAACGAACUGUGUAAUUCCCGAAGGAAAACAAACUUCAAAACGGACGCGGUUUGCCACGUAACAUGUCAUGGAUUGCAUUAGCGUCGCACGGGCAAUUCCAUCACCUAAUGUGCUAAAGUUGGCUCAAAUGUUCCCCACUCUGCAAGAAGCAGAUGAGUUCAUUACGAUUUCACCCUAAUAAAGAAAACCUGCUUGAUUUUGACAAGACAUCGACUUAUCUAAUCGUCUCCUAAAUAACAAAGCUGCUUCCCGCCCGUAAAACACGCUCCCGAACACCGGCUUUACCUGGACUGCUUCUAAAUUAAUGAAAAACACUCGAAUCCAAAGAGAGCAAAAGAAGAAGGGGGGGGGGCGGUGGAGAGAUGGAAUUCAAGGGAUUUUUGAAAAUGUGACUGAUUUUGAAAAGAACGAGUUUUGAAAUGUUUACUUUGUGGUGGUUUGAAAUUUUUACAUCUUUCAACAAAGCGCGCGGGGAAGUGAAACCAUCUGAAAGGGCUUUUGAAAAGAGCGAUUCAGCACCAGCCGGACGAGGCUGUGGUUCCUUUAUCUCGGGCAAUCUGUGCCCAUCGUGCAGGAGGCAGGCCCAGCCCUUUCCCCCCUCCGCUCCGCCUGAGCUCUGAGGCUGCCUGGGCCUGGGCUUCAAAGCGCUCUUGGCCGAGUGUCCUGGGAGGGAAUCAGACACCGCACUCCGGGGACGCGCUGCCGGCUCGCUCUUAUCCUUGAGCACGACCGCCUGAUGCGGUCAUCUUGUUAGUCAUGGAAAGCCCGGGGUCUUUCUGGCCACAGCAGUUGGGGCCACGGCUUAUCCAUCAUUGCAAAGAUCUCUCCGAGAGAAAUGAAACAAGUCAGCUCUGCCCAGAGGGGGAGAAAGCUGAACGGCGCAUGGGGCCGCCCGUCCCAGGACCUUCUUGGCUUGGCUCCUGUGGAAGGGCGUGGGCUCCUUCGUCUGAAAACUGCCAAGGGAAUGCAGCCACACGGCUUAAGAGAAAUGGCGCAUCCCUGUGGUUUGGUGUCCAAGUGGACCAUUCAGGACGCUCAACUCAGAUUCCUUCCCAAACUUUGUCCAGCUCCAAGACCAACAGGGGGCUUCCACUGCAGAGGUCCAGACACCUGCACAGAUGUGUCCCUGCUGGGGGGAGGGGGUGGUGGUGAAGGUGGAAACACCGUUUCUAAGCAGCUCCUUAGAAGUGAACAAAUUCUGGUACCUCCGCGUUGUCUCGGGAACCUGCCUCUUUCCUGCCGUCUGUGCUCCCAUCCUCCCAGUGGGGGGGCUGUGGAUUCUCCAACAGGCCCAGGUAGAAUUCUGAGGUCAUCGGAGUCCCUCCUUCAAGCCUCAGUUCUAUCAGUAUCAAACUUCUGGGGAGACUUCAGGGGAAGCAGCAAGUUUGAGCCAAGAACGCAGAAUUGGAAUUCUCUGAUAAAUCCCUCCCAGCUGAGCCGGGAGGGUCUGUAGUUGGCUCAGCAAGCAGGGACGGCAGGAAGGGGCUGGUGCUGGGAAACUUCAAACAGACCUGGGGUGGCGGGGAGGCUGUGCUGAGGGAGGAGGCCACCGACAGAGGGCUCAGUUAAUUAAAGAGAUGCGUGGGCACACCUAUAGGCUCAGCCCUCUUGGUGUUAAAGCGCCAGCAACUCAAGUUCUGUGCAGGGACUCCCUCCCCCAGGGGGAGGCCUGGAAGCGGGGGAAGCCUCGAGCCACAUUUAGGAUGGACAUUUGCAGUCUUCUGGAAAGCCCCAGCCAGGGGUCCUUGGCCCUUCCACCAAGAGUUCCAAGGGAGCCGAGACUGUUUAAAAGCCUCCUUAAGCAUCAAGGGGUCUCCUGUGUUGCAGGCACUGGGCUGCACAUCACCUGGGAGAGGUAGGGGUCAUCAUAUCUCCCAUUUUACAGAUGAGGGAAGUAAGGCUCAGAAGUCACCAGCUCAAGUGCCUAUGGCUGGUGUGUGGGAGAGGCCCGGCUGGAGCUAGGAUUCUCUGACUUAUGCCACUGGCUGGAGCUGGGGACAGGACAGAGACCAGCAAAGGACAGGUGAUGGCUGCUUCCAUCCGGCCCUCACCUUGGCCCGCCCUUCACACUGUCCUUGACAUUCAAUCAGGUGCCUGUGAUGUCUGGCCCAGAGGUUGGGGCUGGGCCUCCCCAGCUUCCCAGCGACAAAUGGUUCUCAUUUGAAAGGGAGGUUAUAAAAACACAUG
rnacentral:lncRNA from 1 species